rnacentral:rRNA from 1 species
GAUGAACGCUAGCGGGAGGCUUAACACAUGCAAGUCGAGCGGUAGGGCAGCAAUGCCUGAGAGCGGCGCACGGGUGCGUAACGCGUAUGCAACCUGCCUUAUACAGGGGAAUAGCCCAUGGAAACGUGGAUUAAUGUCCCAUAGGAUUACGGAUUCGCAUGGAUUUGUGAUUAAAACUGAGGUGGUAUAAGAUGGGCAUGCGUCUGAUUAGGUAGUUGGUAGGGUAAUGGCCUACCAAGCCGACGAUCAGUAGGGGUUCUGAGAGGAUUACCCCCAACACUGGUACUGGGACACGGACCAGACUCCUACGGGAGGCAGCAGUGAGGAAUAUUGGUCAAUGGCCGGAAGGCUGAACCAGCCAUCCCGCGUGCAGGAUGACGGCCCUAUGGGUUGUAAACUGCUUUUGUACCUGAAGAAACCUGUUUACGAGUAGACAGUUGCCGGUAAGGUAUGAAUAAGCAUCGGCUAACUCCGUGCCAGCAGCCGCGGUAAAAC